rnacentral:rRNA from 1 species
AAGGAUCAUUAUUGAAUGAACUUGGAGUCGGUUGUCGCUGGCUGUCUUAUUUGGCAGCAUGUGCACGCCUUCUCUUUUCAUCCACACACACCCCUGUGCACUUGUGAGACUGGAGACCGGUAAAAAAAGUCUUCAGUCUGCUAAAUCCAUAUACAAACCCAUUUAAUUGAACUGAAUGUAAAUUGAUGUAACGCAUCUUUAAACU